CCUGCCCUAAAGUGGGGGAUAACAUUUGGAAACAGAUGCUAAUACCGCAUAAAACCUAACACCGCAUGGUGUAGGGUUGAAAGAUGGUUUCGGCUAUCACUUUAGGAUGGACCCGCGGUGCAUUAGUUAGUUGGUGAGGUAAAGGCUCACCAAGACCGUGAUGCAUAGCCGACCUGAGAGGGUAAUCGGCCACACUGGGACUGAGACACGGCCCAGACUCCUACGGGAGGCAGCAGUAGGGAAUCUUCCACAAUGGACGAAAGUCUGAUGGAGCAACGCCGCGUGAGUGAAGAAGGUUUUCGGAUCGUAAAACUCUGUUGUUGGAGAAGAAUGUAUCUGAUAGUAACUGAUCAGGUAGUGACGGUAUCCAACCAGAAAGCCACGGCUAACUACGUGCCAGCAGCCGCGGUAAUACGUAGGUGGCAAGCGUUGUCCGGAUUUAUUGGGCGUAAAGCGAGCGCAGGCGGUUUCUAAAGUCUGAUGUGAAAGC
rnacentral:rRNA from 1 species